rnacentral:lncRNA from 1 species
CGGAUUACAACCCGGGAAUGAUCCAGAAAACAAGAUGGAAAAUCAGAUCCCAUUACAAAGACUCCCUUCAGCUGACCCAGACAUGGAACGUCUUUCCAAUUAACAAGCACGGGAUUUUUAGCCAUUGAGCUUUGCAUCCAUAUUGCCAAGACGGCUAUAUGCUUCAAAAUCUUUAGCUUUAGUCAAUACAUUCCCAAAAGGAUUCUCAUACCCCAUGUCACCGAGCAUCAUUCCCACAAUGUGUGCAUCAUCGUGUGUAUGUAAAUGAUUCAGCGUGAUAUUCUGGGUGUUACUAUCUUGAAUAAAUUUUUUUUGGAUCUUGUGCUUCCAGCUUACCACAAACCGAUCACCCAAACUUUCAUUUGCGAUUCAAAACAAAACAGGUUAGAAUGGAUUCAGUCGGUCCUCAUUAUUAACAACAUCUUUUUCUUUUUCUUUUUCAUUCUUUUUCCAUUUUUCCUUUUUUUUGUUGUGGUCGGAUCUUAUGGAGAUUGCCUAUCAUGACCCGCCAUGAAUCAGACCUUGCGUAGUUCGGGCCAAUAAAAGAUAAACAACAAUGAAACAUUUUUUUGGGAUUUUUAAUUUUCAUGAUAAAACAAACUGAGUUUCAAAGGAUUAAAGAUGACCUACAAACUCAAAAAUCAAACAACUCACAUAUUCUAAUAGAAAGAAUUGCAAACUCAAAAACAAACGGCCAGCUAGCGUUCCCUGUUUGUUCAACUCACAUAUUCUAAUAGAAAGAGUUGCAAACUCAAAAAUAAACGGCCAGCUACCUUUCCCUGUUUGUCAAAUUCAACCCAAUGGCUGCUUUUGAAAACGUGGCCCUUUCACAUGAAUUUUGAGGCCGAGGAGUAUUAUGUUAUGACAUUUCACAAACUUGUUUGUUGUUUUACGAAAAUAGCCUUUCAAAAAUUAAAAGAUAUUCUAAGGCUAUCUCUGCAAGAACGGUUUAAGACAUCGCCGAAGCUGGCUUGGCUUAUUUUGACAAAAUUCCAAAUGGCACUCACUUGCCCACUGACUCUUAUUUUCAAAUUGAAAUAAAAGACCUGGUAUUGCAAACACGGCCUUUUAGCACCUCGGGGACGAAGAUUGUAAGCCUGCGUUAGCUAACCAGCCCAAAUCCUAAGACAAUGAUUAAAGGUGGCAGUUAAUGCAAAGUCAGCAUUCCGGCAUCCCUUUCGGGAACAUUCGGCUAUUUUCGGCAAAAAGAGCAUCACCGACUUAUUUUUGACUCUUUUCUUUUCUUUUUUUUUUCAAAACGGGAGACCCAAUAUUGCAAACACGACCUUCCAGCUUCUAGAGGAUGAUAAUUUUAAGGCUGUGUGGGUCAACCGGCCAAAAAUCUAAAGAAUGACCAAAGGUGGAUGCAAAGUCAGCCUUCCGGCAUCCCUUUCGAGAAUAUUCGGCUAUUUUUGACAAAAACGGCAUCACCCGACUUAUUAUGACGACAAUCAAAAUUGACACAUUUGUUUUUUGCUAUUUUAGCAAAAUGGGAGGUUGGACUCGAUGUGGUUGCCUACGUAUCUCACACCCAGUGAGAAUCAAACCAGCGUAGUUCAAAAAAUUAACCAAACUAUUUUAAAACAGGACUCAUUUUUAUUUUUAUUUUUGGCAUUUCAU